GUGAGAUGAAAUCAGCAUUUAGACAUAUGAUUUUAUGCUGAUUACAUCUCGUGA
rnacentral:pre_miRNA from 1 species